UGAUAUUGUUGUUUUUCCUAUGGGGUUGCUU
rnacentral:piRNA from 1 species